GAAAUAUUAGAAUGGAUUAUAAUUAAACUUCAGUAAAAACACUAAUUUAGGGCUGGAAUACAGUUCACAGGUUCACAACUGUGGUGAAAUGUCAGAUUUGGUGGUGAAGUGAAUCACUUUCUAAAGAAUCAAACUGAGUGAUAUUUCGAUUCUAUGGCUCACUGAAUCAUUUCUUUAAAGAUGUGACUGAAUGGUGAUGAAGUGUGAGCUUCUAUGCUGCACUGAAUCAUAUCUUAACGAAUCAAACUAAACAGGUGGUCAAACGGUACAGAAUCAAACUAAAUUAAAGGACCUAACUAAGAAUGUGAGGAAUAGAGAGUUAGGAAUGAAGGGAAUUGAGCUGUUUGGUGGUGAAACGUGAGAUUGGAUGGGGCACUGAAUCGUUUCCUAAAGAAUCGUGAGGUCAGAGAUUUACACUCCAUAAUAAUCAGCAUCAGUAGCUGCUCUGUAAACUGAAGCUUCUCUCGGAGGGAUUGGACAAUCGCCGGGGGAAACCUGUUCAGGAUUAACGGCCAGAGGAAACGCGGGGGGGGAUGCAUUUUUACCCACAGCCUCAUCCAACACACACACACACAGAGUGUCAGAGCCAGCAGGCAGUGGGCUCUACACUCAGCAACUUCCUAAAGGGAAACUUUUACAACUUACACCUUUAAAAAAUACAGGAGCUGCUGCUUUAACUCUGUCUGGGAAGAACCUUCAGACCAUGAUGCCCACAAUGCACCCCAUCCACCAGACCAUGUUCUCUGGACCCUGAAGGAUGUGACCGG
ensembl:lncRNA